rnacentral:rRNA from 1 species
GGUGAACGCUGGCGGCGUGCCUAAGACAUGCAAGUCGAGCGGGCCGCGGGGUUUUACUCCGUGGUCAGCGGCGGACGGGUGAGUAACGCGUGGGUGACCUACCCGGAAGAGGGGGACAACCCGGGGAAACUCGGGCUAAUCCCCCAUGUGGACCCGCCCCUUGGGGUGUGUCCAAAGGGCUUUGCCCGCUUCCGGAUGGGCCCGCGUCCCAUCAGCUAGUUGGUGGGGUAAUGGCCCACCAAGGCGACGACGGGUAGCCGGCCUGAGGGGGUGGCCGGCCACAGGGGCACUGAGAGACGGGCACCACUCCUACGGGAGGCAGCAGGUAGGAACCUGCCGCAAUGGGCGCAAGCCUGACGGAGCGACGCCGCUUGGAGGAAGAAGCCCUUCGGGGUGUAAACUCCUGAACCCGGGACGAAACCCCCGACGAGGGGACUGACGGUACCGGGGUAAUAGCGCCGGCCAACUCCGUG